ACUGUUGCAUGUAAUUCUUGAUGAAAGAAUCUAUAAAUUGAAAUCUCACAAACAAAAAUAUCUACUGCUUAAAAUUACACGACACGUGACAUCAUUCCGAAUUUGGGAAUGUAACGAUAACUGCACCCCAAGAAACCAUUUAUCUUAUCUCCGCCCCAACCCAAAUACGAAAUUACAAGUAACUAAUUGCAUGACAAACCAUGCAUUGGUCAGUAUAUUUGUUCAAAAUGCCUUAAAAUCCUCAACUCAUCUUUGAAAGAUUUCUUCCAAGAAAGCACUCCAACCAUAUUUGUUUUGACA
rnacentral:misc_RNA from 1 species